CCUACGGGAGACAGCAGUGAGGAAUAUUGGUCAAUGGACGAGAGUCUGAACCAGCCAAGUAGCGUGAAGGAUGACUGCCCUAUGGGUUGUAAACUUCUUUUAUAUGGGAAUAAAACGUUCCACGUGUGGGAUUUUGUAUGUACCAUAUGAAUAAGGAUCGGCUAACUCCGUGCCAGCAGCCGCGGUAAUACGGAGGAUCCGAGCGUUAUCCGGAUUUAUUGGGUUUAAAGGGAGCGUAGGUGGAUUGUUAAGUCAGUUGUGAAAGUUUGCGGCUCAACCGUAAAAUUGCAGUUGAAACUGGCAGUCUUGAGUACAGUAGAGGUGGGCAGAAUUCGUGGUGUAGCGGUGAAAUGCUUAGAUAUCACGAAGAACUCCGAUUGCGAAGGCAGUUCACUGGACUGCAACUGACACUGAGGCUCGAAAGUGUGGGUAUCAAACAGGAUUAGAUACCCCAGUAGUC
rnacentral:rRNA from 1 species